CACCAAGAGAUUAAGUUAUGUUUAUAAGGUAAAAAGACAGUUAGGUUAAAAUUAAUUAGCUAAAAUAACUAUUUAUAAAAAGGUAAAAUUUGUAUAUAAAUUACUAAUUCUAUUUUAGCUUUAAUGCUGAGGCUGUGAUAGUUUUGAGGGAAACUGGGAUUAGAUACCCCAUUAUUCUUAACUGUAAAUUUAAUUUAUUUUUACCAGAGUACUAUGAAUAUACUAAAAAUUUAAAACUCAAAGGGCUUGGCGGUGUUUUAGACCUAUUAGGGGAACCUGUCUCAUAAUCGACAGUCCACGUUAUACCUGACCUUAUUUAGUAAUCCAGUUUGUAUACCGUCGUCGUCAGGUAACUUUUAAAAAUUUAGAAGUUAGCAAAUAGAAUCUUUAAAUUUAAACGUCAGAUCAAGGUGCAGCUAAUAAUAAGGAGAGGAUGGGUUACAAUUAAAGAACUUUUAAUUAUGAAAAACUGUAUGAAUAUAUAGUUAGAAGGAGGACUUAAAAGUAAAAUAUAAUAUAUAAACAGCUUGAAUAUGGCUCUGAAACGUGC
rnacentral:rRNA from 1 species